rnacentral:rRNA from 1 species
GACGAACGCUGGCGGCGUGCUUAACACAUGCAAGUCGAGCGGUAAGGCCCUUUCGGGGGUACGACGAGCGGCGAACGGGUGAGUAACACGUGGGUGACCUGCCCUCAGCUCUGGGAUAAGCCCGGGAAACUGGGUCUAAUACCGGAUAUGACUUCAUGACGCAUGUUGUGGAGUGGAAAGCCUUGUGCGGCUGAGGAUGGGCCCGCGGCCUAUCAGCUUGUUGGUGGGGUGAUGGCCUACCAAGGCGACGACGGGUAGCCGGCCUGAGAGGGCGACCGGCCACACUGGGACUGAGAUACGGCCCAGACUCCUACGGGAGGCAGCAGUGGGGAAUCUUGCGCAAUGGGCGAAAGCCUGACGCAGCGACGCCGCGUGAGGGAUGACGGCCU